AGAGAAAGAAGAGAGACUAAGUCAACGAACAAACUGCCCAGAGGAAGUACUUUAAUAAAAGCCCUUGACCUAUGUCCAUAACCCAAAAUGUCAAAAAAGAUACAAAGCUGUAGGUGUGUGUGUCACAUGCAAGCAUGGAGGUGUGUGUCAGAUGCAAGCAUGGAGGUGUGAGUUGAAUGCAAGCAUGGAGGUGUGAGUCAGAUGCAAGCGUGGAGGUAUGAGUCAGAUGCAAGCAUGGAGGUGUGUGUGUCAGAUGCAAGCAUGGAGGUGUGUGUCAGAUGCAAGCAUGGAGGUGUGAGUCAGAUGCAAGCGUGGAGGUGUGUGUCAGAUGCAAGCAUGGAGGUGUGUGUGUCAGAUGCAAGCAUGGAGGUGUGUGUCAGAUGCAAGCAUGGAGGUGUGUGUCAGAUGCAAGCGUGGAGGUGUGUGAGUUGAAUGCAAGCAUGGAGGUGUGAGUCAGAUGCAAGCGUGGAGGUGUGUGUGUCAGAUGCAAGCAUGGAGGU
rnacentral:sRNA from 1 species